GGCCAACAUGACUAUGUACGCGAGCCACAUGUAUUAAUAAAAUUAUAUCAAGAGCCAAAUUAUCUAAUGUGUACUUUUAUACCACAAAAGUAAUAAAGAUAGCAAACAGCCGAUAAACAUAUCAAAUUACGAAAUAUGAAAUUAUAUCGUUUUUAAUAUAGUCUGUAGUCUGUGUUGAAUAGUCCUAUUGUAAACACCUCAAUUUUUUUUGUAAAAUAUUUGUAAUAUUUAAUAAUUAUAUUUGUAAUAUUUUACCGAUACUUAUUGCGAAAGUUAGUUACAAUGUCAAUUUCUAAUAAAGCGGUUAAACGUAAAUAUGAAGAAGAAAAACGGGAAUUUAAAUUAGAAUGGGAAGAACUAUACUUUUUCAUACAGAAAAACGAUAAACCAUUUUGUGUCAUAUGUCAAGUUACAUUAUCACAGUUUAAGGUAAUAUGAAGAUAAAAUUAUUAACAAAUGAAUCAAUGUGGAUAUAUCCACCUUGAAAUGAAUUGAACCAUGCCAAUAAUUUUAUCAAUUUCGACUUACAUCAUCGCAAUAGAUGUCAACGUAUUUAAUGUGAGAAGGUACGUGGCAAUGCGAGUACUUAGCAGGUAAAAAAAAAAAAACUGGAGGAGUUUACAUAUACCCAUUACAGGUAAGAAUUUGCAGGAGCUAAGAAUUACAGGUAAACUGGUGGAGUUUACACUAGACCUUUAAUUAUAUUUUUAUCUUAACCGAUAUUCUAGUGGAGUUUACAAUCACCCAAAUGGAAUAUACAUUCAGGAUUUAGCCGGUUUGGGACAACUAAACACCAUAAUAUUUAAAAAUCAAAAUCAAGGGGGCCAGUUCGGGGCCACUGAUUUUUCAUAAGGGGCCAGGCCCUCUAAGGCCCCCUCCCUUGACGAUGUGCCUGCGAGCGUUAUCUAUCUUUAACGAUUAAAGAUAUUAUUAUUACUUCUGCAGCUUACGUUACUGUUAAUUGUUCUUUAUAAGUUUAUUUAUAAAACAAAUACAAUAUGGACGUGGACAAUUUCAUGAAGUCUGAUUUCCUAGCUUCAUUUAUUGAUAUUUAUUGAUAUA